AAUGUCGAUGACAGAGGCUGGGCUGUUCUAUGAGUGGCUUAGAACUGCCGAACCAAACUCCACAGCGUGUUACCGAGCUCCUUCCAAGAUCACAGUCAAGACAUCUCUUGCUCUUACAAAUGUCUGGGGAAUGUUUGUGAUCCUUGCUGCUGGACACGUUGUCAGUCUGUUUGGAUUAGGUCUUGAGCUCCUGACCCAUCGUUUUCACCAAUCUUAGAACCAUGAAAUAUACCGAAUAUACAUUUAGUUUAUUUUAUGAAUGCUUUACUGUACUGUUUUUAUCUAGAUUCGCAAUGUUUAUAUGUUAAAUGUUUUCCUGGAAGUAGGACUAGAUAAACGCUUUUCGUAAUUUUUGGAAUUGUGUAAUUUUCGUAGCCAGUUAAGUACGUUGUCACUUAUUCAAUCAAGAGGAGGUAUGAAAGACAAAAGUCGUGUCGUGAAAUUUGGUGAAAACAUAUGCCGACGGGCUAAACCUCUGCCUUGUGGUAGGGCUCUCACAAUGUUUCACGAGUUAUAUUCAAUCUUCGGACAAAACUGCGACACGAUUUUUGUCUUUGAUUGUACAAAUAAAAACUAUUAUGAAUA